GUUAUUUUGCCGUGCGCAAUCUGCACCGUCCAGCAAUCGUGGCUAGCGCACGCCCCACUCCCUGCCCGUAAGAAGCGCAUCGCCCUGCCGCGAUGGUUUUCUAGCCGUCCGCUGCCCACCCUCCUGCCGUCGAUUAGUAUUAGGUUAACAAAAUAGUUCCGGUCUUCAAGCGAUCUUGAUCUCGAUCUGAGAGGAGCGACUGCGGCAGAAGAGGAGGCACCUGCGGCGGAGGCGGCUCCAGCAGAUCGGCAGGCGGCCGCGGUGUGGUCAUUCCGGUGUUCCCCGCACACGGGUCACAAGCAAUAGUCUGGAGAUAGACAAACCAGGAGAAAAUGCGAGCUUCAGUGUUUCACCUGGUUUGCCUUUGCAUUAUCCUCUUGUACCAUCUUCUUUUCCCCUGUAAUGGCAGGUAUGGUGUUUACAGCACUGUAAUAUCUGUCGUAAAAAUAGAGAACAGCCAUCUCAACAUGUGGUCCACCAGAUUGCAGGAGCAUGUCUCGUGUAGUUUGUACUGUGCUGGUUGCAGCCCCAUAUCGUGUCCCUCGUAAGCACUGAAUGAAUUUCCCUCUGUACAAGAUAACAAUGAUUUAUUUGACCUCAACCUGUCUUCCGCUUGCUAGCAGAAAAAAACAUACGCACAAAUCUAUCUUAAUUCACUAUAUUGCUCUGGAUCAACUCUGUACCAUUUGAUCUGAUCCUGUGUGGCUAUUUGUGAGAUAUGUCGUUUCUUUUCCACCUGAUGCUGAGCUGAGACCUGAGAGCUCAAGCUUGGAGGUCACCCAUCUCCUUUGGCUCGAGCUCUCUGAGCUCGUCCGCUUCACUCCUACUGCAGCUCUGGUAGAACAUGCAGCUGACGAUGAUCUCCAGCACGCCUGCGUUAAUGAUGUGCGCCUGUCUUUUUUUGCCCUUUGUGUUUCAGCAGAUGGAGCACAAUAGGAAUUGUGUUUCUAGGGAACCAUUUGCUGAUUUGACCAACACUGGUGGCAUCGUAGAUGUAGAUUCGAAGGAGCUUAAAGAGGCAGAUGGAGUGAGUGCGUUCUGCUUCAGUAUCCGAAGAUCAGAAAAACGAGCGUAACAAGAGAUGGUGUGAAGCUUAUAAGAGGAAAAAGGAGAUGAAUAGAGAGCAGGAAAACAAAUGUAUUGAUACUGUUCAGGCUGCGCAGUAGACAAUUCGACUUACAAAUGUAUUGGCUCCACCGGGAUGACACCUAUCGCGGAUGUGAAAAUGUUUGGCAAGGUUGUACGACGGAUUGCACGUGCAACAGCUCUGUUGCGGGGAGGAUGGAUAUAGCAGAAUGCCAGCGAAAGAAUUUAGCUCAACGAGGGUCUGUUUGGUUCGUGGGCUUAUUCUAGCCUGGCUAGAAUCUAGAGCCAGGCCAGCCCAAGCCUGUCCAAUAUUAGCAAUCUAUGCCGUAUUUGGUUUCUUGGUCAAUCCAAGUCUGGCUAGCUCAAGAUUGUAUUUGGUUGCUGUACAUUUGAUAUAAUAACUGUGUCUUGGCUGAAGGGUGAAGUACCGAUCUCUUUUUCCCCUCUCUCUCGCCAUUGCUCCAUCCACAUCAUCGUCAGCCCUUCCCCGCCGCCGCCGCCGCCGCCGCGGGCGACGCAUGUCCAGGAAGAAGAAGCCACGAGUUCCAUAAAUUUCACUGGUGAAGAAAUUGCACGAUGUUGGGAUGACGCAGCUGCCCAAUCCGCCCCAUCUCUGCUCUGAAAGCUUUCUCCGAUAGUGGGCAGGAGUGAAGGCGUCAGCGCAGACCCGUCCCGAAGCGGCGGCCCCGAAGACCCCCGCGGCGAUGACGGCCGAGGCCGGCGCCCCCCAGCCCGCGGCCGCAGCGCGAGGAGAGCCGUCGGAUGCUCCGCCCCCGCGGGCGAGCGGGAGCCGCGCGAAGACCUCCGCCGCCACGCGGGGAGCGCCGGCCGCGCCGCGCCGCCGGCCGUGCGGAGGACCUCCGCGCGCCGCGGGUGGGGAGCGCCGCCGGCCGCGCGUCGGACCUCCGCCGCCGCGGGCUGCUGUGGAACGAGGGGGGCGAAUCCAAGUUCGCAGCUGCUGUCUUGGAACGAGAAAGAAGAGGAAGGUGGACGCCCAGCGGGUGACGCGAGACAAGUCCUGGAGCACCUUCGGCUUGGGCAAGCAUGGCUAACUGGAGACGCUCGUGAUUCACGUUACCGUGGAGGCAGGCUAAGGGGCCGAUUUGGUUUGUUGUAGCCUGGCUAAAGAGGCUAGCCAGGUAUCCAAACAUACGCUGGUGUGGCUUAUUGGAGUGUGGUUGGGGUUUAGCCAUCCAAGUCCAGUAUUUGGUACAUUUUAUAUUAUUAAUGAUCUUUUAGUCUUAA